AUCCUUUUAUGGCUCAUAAACGUGAUGACUGGGUUUUCACACACAUGUGAGAUGUGCCUCCCGUAAACCUUAAGACAUCAGCACGUUAUCUAUCUAACA